UACGGGGGGGGUAAGCGUUGUUCGGAAUUACUGGGCGUAAAGGGCUCGUAGGCGGCCAACUAAGUCAGACGUGAAAUCCCUCAGCUUAACUGGGGAACUGCGUCUGAUACUGGAUGGCUUGGAUUCGGGAGAGGAAUGCGGAAUUCCAGGUGUAGCGGUGAAAUUCGUAGAUAUCGGGAGGAACACCGGUGGCGAAGGCGGCGACCUGGGUCGAGACUGACGCUGAGGCGCGAAAGCGUGGGGAGCAAACAGG
rnacentral:rRNA from 1 species